UACGUAGGGUGCAAGCGUUGUCCGGAAUUAUUGGGCGUAAAGAGCUCGUAGGCGGUCUGUUGCGUCGGCUGUGAAAACCCGGGGCUCAACUCCGGGCCUGCAGCCGAUACGGGCAGACUAGAGUUCGGCAGGGGAGACUGGAAUUCCUGGUGUAGCGGUGAAAUGCGCAGAUAUCAGGAGGAACACCGGUGGCGAAGGCGGAUCUCUGGGCCAUAACUGACGCUGAGGAGCGAAAGCGUGGGGAGCGAACAGG
rnacentral:rRNA from 1 species